AGAGUUUGAUCAUGGCUCAGGACGAACGCUGGCGGCGUGCCUAAUACAUGCAAGUCGAGCGGACAGAUGGGAGCUUGCUCCCUGAAGUCAGCGGCGGACGGGUGAGUAACACGUGGGCAACCUGCCUGUAAGACUGGGAUAACUCCGGGAAACCGGGGCUAAUACCGGAUAAUUCUUUUCCUCACAUGAGGGAGAGCUGAAAGAUGGUUUCGGCUAUCACUUACAGAAGGGCCCGCGGCGCAUUAGCUAGUUGGUGAGGUAACGGCUCACCAAGGCAACGAUGCGUAGCCGACCUGAGAGGGUGAUCGGCCACACUGGGACUGAGACACGGCCCAGACUCCUACGGGAGGCAGCAGUAGGGAAUCUUCCGCAAUGGACGAAAGUCUGACGGAGCAACGCCGCGUGAGUGAUGAAGGUUUUCGGAUCGUAAAACUCUGUUGUCAGGGAAGAACAAGUACCGGAGUAACUGCCGGUACCUUGACGGUACCUGACCAGAAAGCCACGGCUAACUACGUGCCAGUAGCCGCGGUAAUACGUAGGUGGCAAGCGUUGUCCGGAAUUAUUGCGCGUAAAGCGCGCGCAGGCGGUUCCUUAAGUCUGAUGUGAAAGCCCCCCGCUCAACCGGGGAGG
rnacentral:rRNA from 1 species